CUAUGCUGUUCUCCAUCAGCGUCAGUUUUGAUUGGAACUCAGUCGUGCGGAGAACGUCGACGUCGAGCUCCACCGUGCCGUGGAAGCCAAAAGCAUAUAAAAAUCCACCCGACUGGAUCAUCAUCGGCACCGUUUGCGAUCAGGAUUCGCCUACGUGUCGAACAGCGAGUCCGUAAUUCAGGCCGGCGUCGUCGGUGAGAAGCUCUCUCCUGCAGUCAAUGCGCGUGACGAAUCUGGAGCAAGUAAAGCAACCCGGCUUACGCCUAUGGUUAUCCAUUGACAGUGGCGGAUCAACACCACCAAGAAGUCCACGUGUCCAUAUCUUGGACCGAUCAACGGCGCUGUACCGGCAAAGAAAACAACUCGCCGGUGCGGGUCCUGCUGGAGAUCGAGCAGGCGAACAGUGUCGCCGACAAUACCUCAUCCUUCUCAACCGACGACCGACGGUGAAAACUACAGGUCGCCUCGCUGACUUCGAUCGCCCGCUGAGCGGCUUAGUUUUUUCAGGGCUGCUAAUGAUCUGUUUUUGCCAUUAAAUCCUCUAGAUUAUGCGACCACUUGUGUACCGUAAGGAUGCACCUGCUGCGAAUCACAUCAUAUAGGCAGGCUCUUUUCUGAAUUUUUACCUGUUCAAAUUGCACUUCGGAGUUUAGAGAUAUCAAGGAAGUGACGCUGGAUGAUGGACAAGAUGAAGGCUUCUUGGUAGUACAUCAGAAAGGACGGCAAAAAAGAAACCUGGUGUUUUUGACUGAGCAGUGCUUGUGUGGUAUCACAAGUACGAACAGCUUGAACAUAGAAAUGAUCAAGCAGACAGAUGAAGGGGAUUGAAUCAAGAAGAAUAAACAGGGCGCCAGGUCAAAUUGGAACUCUUGGUUUAUUUGACUGCUCUUCAGAUGUGAAUUCAACACGAAAAGGGCAUGGCCUGCAACAAUUUUCUAUACGUCUGUACUGCUAUAGUAUAGUUUACAUGGAACACGCAUUGUGGUUGAAGGGAUGCUAUGAUUCCUUACGCCUAAAAUCUCAUAAAUUUAUAAUGUAUGCUUCGUGUAGGAUACCAAUAUACCAUUUGUCCUCUUCGGUGUAGGAUGUUAGGAACAAAAGGAG